rnacentral:rRNA from 1 species
ACCCCGAGAGGGGAGUGAAAUAGACCUGAAACCGUAAACUUACAAGCCGUGGGAGCCGAUUUCGAUCGGUGACCGCGUGCCUAUUGAAGAAUGAGCCGGCGAGUUAAUUUAGGCAGCUAGGUUAAGAGAUAUAAGUCUUGGAGCCGUAGCGAAAGCGAGUCCGAAUAGGGCGCGAGUUGGGCGAAGUUCAGCUUUCGAUGAAGUUGAUUUAUGAUUCAAGUUUUCAUUUUCGGAUGAGAGUGAGAAGAAUUUUGAUACAGAUUCGCAUGUUGGAUUUCAUUUAUGCCUGAUGUGUUGUCUGGAUUAGACCCGAAACCAGGUGAGCUACCCAUGGUCAGGUUGAAGCCUCGAUAAUAUCGAGAUGGAGGACCGAACCCGUGUACGGUGCAAAGUGCUGGGAUGAACUGUGGGUAGGGGUGAAAUGCCAAACGAACCUGGAAAUAGCUGGUUCUCCGCGAAAUGUAUUUAGGUACAGCGUUAAUAAAGUCUUGGGGAGGUAGGGCACUGGAUGGGCUAGGGGGCAUUAGCUUACCAAACUCAACCAAACCACGAAUGCCUCAAGAUAAUUAUUGGCAGUGAGACAGUGGGGGAUAAGCUCCAUUGUCGAGAGGGAAACAGCCCAGAUCGCAGGCUAAGGUCCCUAAGUAUAGUCUAAGUGGGAAAGGAAGUAGGAACGCCAAAACAGCUAGCAGGUUGGCUUAGAAGCAGCCAUCCUUUAAAGAGUGCGUAACAGCUUACUAGUCGAGGGUUCCCGCACCGAAAAUUUAACGGGGCUAAGACUAUCACCGAAGCCGCGAUUCUCCGAUUAAUCGGAGGAGGUAGCGGAGCGUUGCCAAUGCACCGAAGCUCAGAUGUGAGUCUGGGUGGAGCGUUGGGAAGUGAGAAUGCCGGCAUGAGUAGCGUCAAUCAUGGUGAGAAUCCAUGACACCGAAAACCCAAGGUUUCCUACGCAACGUUGUUCGACGUAGGGUAAGUCGGGCCUAAGCCGUAGCGCAAAGCAAAGGCGAUGGACAACGGGUCAAAAUUCCCGUACCACCGAUAUUUCGUUUUAAGGCAAAGAGGGGACACGGAAAGGUAGGCAUAGCGCGCCUAUGGACAUGGUGCGUUUGCUUCUGAAGGUCAUGGCGAGAUAGGCAAAUCCGUUUCGUCGUUAAGAAUUGAGGGAAGUGAAAACUAUAGGGCGCAAGCCCUGUUGAAUUAUGCUGAUCCUAUGCCGUCAGGAAAAGCCUCGUUGCUAGACAUAUAGGUGACCGUACCGCAAACCGACACAGGUGGGUAGGGGUAAAUGCCCCAAGGUGUUCGAGAGAACCUUCGUUAAGGAAUUCGACAAACUAGCUCUGUAACUUCGGGAGAAAGAGUGCCCGUGGAGUGAUUAUCACAUGCGGAUAUGAGCUCUUUCGGGUCGCAGUGAAUAGGCUCAGGCGACUGUUUACCAAAAACACAGGUCUCUGCUAAGACGAAAGUCGAUGUAUAGGGGCUGACGCCUGCCCAGUGCCGGAAGGUUAUGGGGAAGGGUUAGAUUCCGCUUGCGGAAUCGAAGCUCUGAACCGAAGCCCCGGUGAACGGCGGCCGUAACUAUAACGGUCCUAAGGUAGCGAAAUCCCUUGUCGGGUAAGUUCCGACCCGCACGAAUGGCGUAACGAUCUGAGCGUUGUCUCAACGAAGGACUCGGUGAAAUUGCAGGACCGGUAAAGAUGCCGGUUACCCGCUGCAGGACAAAAAGACCCCGUGGAGCUUUACUGUAGCUUGGCAGUGGACUAGGGUUAUGAAUGUGUAGGAUAGGCGGGAGACUAUGAAGCUUUGACGCCAGUCGAGGCUGAGUCGACCUUGAAAUACCGCUCUUUUAUGAUUUUGGCCCUAACCCGAUUUAAUCGGGGACCCUGUCAGGUGGGCAGUUUGACUGGGGCGGCCGCCUCCUAAAGAGUAACGGAGGCGUCCAAAGGUUCCCUCAGGGUGAAUGGAAACCACCUAUAGAGUGCAUUGGCAUAAGGGAGCUUGACUGUGAGACCUACAAGUC